UACGUAGGGGCUAGCGUUGUCCGGAUUUAUUGGGCGUAAAGAGCGUGUAGGCGGCCUGGUAGGUCUGCUGUGAAACUCGAGGCUCAACCUCGAGAUGUCGGCGGAAACCAUCUGGCUAGAGUCCGGAAGAGGAGAGUGGAAUUCCUGGUGUAGCGGUGAAUGCGCAGAUAUCAGGAAGAACACCCGUGGCGAAGGCGGCUCUCUGGGACGGUACUGACGCUGAGGAGCGAAAGCCAGGGAGCAAACGGG
rnacentral:rRNA from 1 species